GAGCACGUAGGUGGGUUUGUAAGUCAGAUGUGAAAGCCUUCUGUUCAACGGAAGAAUUGCAUCUGAAACUGCAAGUCUUGAGUGUAGGAGGGGAGAAUGGAACUUCUGGUGGAGCGGUGAAAUGCGUAGAUAUCAGAAGGAACGCCGGCGGCGAAAGCGAUUCUCUGGCCUAUUACUGACACUCAGUGUGCGAAAGCUAGGGGAGCAAACGGGAUCAGAUACCCCGGUAGUCCUAGCCGUAAACGAUGGGCACUAAGUAGAGGGAAUUACCGAUGUUCUCUCUGCCGUAGCUAACGCAUUAAGUGCCCCGCCUGGGGAGUACGGCCGCAAGGCUAAAACUCAAAAGAAUUGACGGGGGCUCGCACAAGCGGUGGAGCAUGUGGCUUAAUUCGAUGCAACGCGAAAAACCUUACCGGGGCUUGACAUGGUAGAGGUAGGAACCCGAAAGGGUAACGAACGGUAUCCAGUCCGUAGCUAUCACAGGUGUUGCAUGGCUGUCGUCAGCUCGUGUCGUGAGACGUUGGGUUAAGUCCCCUAACGAGCGAAACCCUUGUUUUUAGUUACCAGCGGGUUAUGCCGGGUACUCUAGAAAGACUGCCGUCGUCAAGACGGAGGAAGGUGGGGAUGACGUCAAGUCAUCAUGGCCCUUAUGCCCCGGGCUGCACACGUGCUACAAUGGUCGGUACAAACGGAUGCGAAGCCGAGAGGUGAAGCGAAUCC
rnacentral:rRNA from 1 species